rnacentral:rRNA from 1 species
ACCCGCUGAACUUAAGCAUAUCAGUAAGCGAAGGAAAAGAAAACAACUGUGAUUCCCUCAGUAACUGCGAGUGAAGUGGGAUAAGCCCAACGUUAAAAACUUGUAAAAGUGUUGUAACGUAUUGACUUUAACUAUGGUAUGAGUUGACUGUUUAAGUCUUUCGGACAGAAGCGCCUUAGAGGGUGACAGCCCCGUGUGUAACAGUUAUUAUUUGUAUAAAUUGCUCAUAUCUUAAGUUAUUGUUCAAAGAGUCAGGUUGUUUGGGAUUGCAACCUAAAGUAGGUGGUAAGCUCCAUCGAAGGCUAAAUAUUAACACGAAACCGAUAGCGAACAAGUACCGUGAGGGAAAGUUGAAAAGCACUUUGAAAAGAGAGUCAAAAGUACGUGAAACCGUUAACGGGGAAGCAGAAGGCAGUGUCGUGACGAUUGGUUUUUGGCUACUAACGUAAUUGCAAAUUAGUCGUGCGUCAGAUCACUCGAAUACUGAUUUAACCGGCGCUUUUGUGCCUAAGUGAGUGAUAUGGGCAACCGUGGAUCUUUGCAUUGGCAAAAAGAUAUAUGGCUAGGUUAUAAUUUGUGUUUAAGUUUAUGAGACUAAAGGCGCUUGGGUUCUCAGUUUGGGGACGAUAUCUAUAUAAAUAUGUAAAUAGUUGUGUGCUUUUAGCCGCAGUUGCUAACAUACUAUAUUUGUAUUACUUGUGCCAGUCUAUAUCUGACGAGAUACCGAACUUUCUGACCCGUCUUGAAACACGGACCAAGGAGGCAGAGGUUGCAGCGAGUUGUAGAGUGUAAAACUCGUAAGCUAAGUGAAGGCAAUUUUUAAAGGUAAGAUUGGGGAUUUUAUAUAGCAAUAUAUAUCUCUCUGCGCAUUACCAACCGUUUAAAAUGUAAAUGUUUGAACGCGUUAGAGCUGCAACUGCUGGGCCCGAAAGAUGGUGAACUAUGCGUGAGCAGGGUAAAGUCAGAGGAAACUCUGAUGGAGGCUCGAAGCAAUUCUGACGUGCAAAUCGAUUGUUAGACUUGCGUAUAGGGGCGAUAGACUAAUCGAACCAUCUAGUAGCUGGUUCCCUUUGAAAUAUCCCUCAGGAUCGCUGAGACUAUAUAUGGUAGUUUCAUCGGGUAGAGCUAAUGAUUAGAGGAAUCGGGGAAAGAUUACACUCGACCUAUUCUCAAACUACCAAUCGGUGAUGUGGUUUAUAUUUUCUUAACUGAAUAUUUGCCGUGAAUACCAAGUCUCAAGUGGGCCGUUUUUGGUAAGCAGAACUGGCGAUGCGGGAUGAA